rnacentral:tRNA from 1 species
GGCCGGUUAGCUCAGUCAGUUGAGCGUAGCGCCAACACCGCUAAGGCCACGAGUUCGAUUCCCGUUCGGUCC